UACCUGGUUGAUCCUGCCAGUAGUCAUAUGCUUGUCUCAAAGAUUAAGCCAUGCAAGUCUAAGUACGAGCUCUCGUACAGUGAAACUGCGAAUGGCUCAUUAAAUCAGUUAUGGUUCAUUUGAUCGUACAGUUUACUUGGAUAACUGUGGUAAUUCUAGAGCUAAUACAUGCGAGAAGCGCCGACCUCGCGGAAGGCGUGCAUUUAUCAGACAAAAACCGGCCGCGUC
rnacentral:ncRNA from 1 species